UACGUAGGGGGCAAGCGUUAUCCGGAUUUACUGGGUGUAAAGGGCGUGUAGGCGGGACUGCAAGUCAGAUGUGAAAUUCCAGGGCUCAACCCUGGAACUGCAUUUGAAACUGUAGUUCUUGAGUGAUGGAGAGGAAAGCGGAAUUCCUAGUGUAGCGGUGGAAUGCGUAGAUAUUAGGAGGAACACCAGAGGCGAAGGCGGCUUUCUGGACGAAAACUGACGCUGAGGUACGAAAGCGUGGGGAGCAAACAGG
rnacentral:rRNA from 1 species